CACGUAGGGGGCGAGCGUUGUCCGGAAUUAUUGGGCGUAAAGAGCUCGUAGGCGGUCUGUCGCGUCGGAUGUGAAAAUCCAGGGCUCAACCCCUGACCUGCAUUCGAUACGGGCAGACUAGAGUUCGGUAGGGGAGACUGGAAUUCCUGGUGUAGCGGUGAAAUGCGCAGAUAUCAGGAGGAACACCGGUGGCGAAGGCGGGUCUCUGGGCCGAAACUGACGCUGAGGAGCGAAAGCGUGGGGAGCGAACAGG
rnacentral:rRNA from 1 species